ACCUGGCUGGCUCAGUUGGUAGAGCAUGCGACUCUUGAUCUCAGGGUUGUGAGUUCAAGCCCCAUGUUGGGUG
rnacentral:tRNA from 1 species